rnacentral:lncRNA from 1 species
GUUAACCUCUCCUCCCUCUUGCCACUGACAAUUGAGAAUGCUUAGGAUCCCCUCACACAGCCUGGGAAAGGACAACUGAUCUGCCUUCCACUGCCCUUAAUGAUGUGGAUAAGGGUACCUGCAGUAGACCCAGCAUGAUUUUGCAGAUCCUGGGUGCUCUCGUGGAUGCUUCAUUUCAUCUGUCUGAAACUUCCACCUGCUCUGUCUCACUUGGAGGUUGGCAUUCAGAAGAAACCCAUAAGACAAAGGAAAAAAGCUCAGCUGGACCCCCCGUACUGAGUCGUCUGCGUGAUAUUUGG